rnacentral:rRNA from 1 species
UGCCUACGGGGGGCAGCAGUGGGGAAUAUUGCACAAUGGGGGAAACCCUGAUGCAGCAACGCCGCGUGAAGGAAGACGGUUUUCGGAUUGUAAACUUCUGUUCUUAGUGAAGAAGAAUGACGGUAGCUAAGGAGCAAGCCACGGCUAACUACGUGCCAGCAGCCGCGGUAAUACGUAGGUGGCAAGCGUUGUCCGGAAUUACUGGGUGUAAAGGGAGCGCAGGCGGGAAGCCAAGUCAGCUGUGAAAUCCUAUGGCUUAACCAUAGAACUGCAUUUGAAACUGUUAUUCUAGAGUAUGGGAGAGG